rnacentral:rRNA from 1 species
CCAUGAAGCUGGAUUCGCUAGUAAUCGCGCAUCAGCCACGGCGCGGUGAAUACGUUCCCGGGCCUUGUACACACCGCCCGUCAAGCCAUGGAAGCCGGGGGUGCCUGAAGUGCGCUGCCGCGAGGAGCGCCCUAGGGUAAAACCGGUGACUGGGGCUAAGUCGUAACAAGGUAGC